AACGAACGCUGGCGGCAUGCCUAACACAUGCAAGUCGAACGAGACCUUCGGGUCUAGUGGCGCACGGGUGCGUAACGCGGGGGAACCUGCCCUUAGGUUCGGAAUAACUCCCCGAAAGGGGUGCUAAUACCGGAUAAUGUCUUCGGACCAAAGAUUUAUCGCCUUUGGAUGGGCCUGCGUUGGAUUAGCUAGUUGGUAGGGUAAAAGCCUACCAAGGCGACGAUCCAUAGCUGGUCUGAGAGGAUGAUCAGCCACACUGGGACUGAGACACGGCCCAGACUCCUACGGGAGGCAGCAGUGGGGAAUAUUGGACAAUGGGCGAAAGCCUGAUCCAGCAAUGCCGCGUGAGUGAUGAAGGCCUUAGGGUUGUAAAGCUCUUUUACCCGGGAUGAUAAUGACAGUACCGGGAGAAUAAGCUCCGGCUAACUCCGUG
rnacentral:rRNA from 1 species